GUAGACACCAAAUUUUUGUCAAUUUUUAAUAUUUUCUCAAGAUUUUUCUAUUUAAUGAAUCAUUUAUUUUCUAGCAUUUUAAUGUGCAUUUUCUUAUUUUUUGCAAGUUUGUUUAGAAAAAAAAUAAACAAAACAAAACAAAAAAAAGAGAAAACUAAAAAAUCAAAAAAUCAACAUAAUCAUUUUGUUUCACCAAAAUCACUUAACCCAUUCUUACACUCCACUUUCAGGACCUUUCUUUUCAUUAGCUAAGAAAUCAUCAUUUUGGUGAAUAACACACAGAAGCUCCACUUUCUCUCCCAAUAUACAUCUCUCGGGUCUCUCCCUCACAGGAGAAGGAAGAAAAGGAAAAAAAUUUUCCCUUCCUCUCUCGGCUAGCUCUUAACAGACAAGAAACAAAAACAGACACAAGAAAAAAAAUUCUCUCGGUUCUCUCUCUGGUCUCAACCGAAAAAAGAAAAAAAGAGAAAAGCUCCUCACCUCACUCUCUCCUUCUCUCGGACUUGGGCAGAAGAAAGAAGACAAGAGGAACCAAAAAAAAAGGGCUCCCUCUACACAUUUUCUUCCACAAAAUCCAAACACAAAGAAGGGAAAAGGCAGCUAUCAGUCAAGGCUUGGAAAUUUCAUCAAAACUUCAACCGAAAGGUUUUCAUAUUUAUUGAGGUAUACUUUUAGUUUUUUUUGUCAUAUUAAAUCAAUGCUUCAUUGUUUAGUUUUCUUUCGUUUCUGCUGGCUGCCUUGCAUUGUUGUUGUUGUAUUGUUAAAAUUGGGAAAUGGCAUGAACCAGAUUUAGGAAAAGGGAAUGUUUCUUGUGAAUGCAUGUUAAUUGUUUGAAAAAAUGCCAAAAU
rnacentral:lncRNA from 1 species